AGCUCCAAUAGCGUAUAUUAAAGUUGUUGCGGUUAAAAAGCUCGUAGUUGGAUCUCGGCGAACAGGGGGCGGUUCGUUAUUUGACGGUACUGCCCCAUUUGUUCGUAUUUUUGCAAGAGGGUUGGGGGUCCCCUUCAUUGGGUGUCUCCGGUCGCUUGCAGGUUUACUUUGAAAAAAUUAGAGUGCUCAAAGCAGGCUUACACGCUUGAAUAUUCGUGCAUGGAAUAAUAGAAUAGGAAGUCGUUUCUAUUUUGUUGGUUUUCGGAAAAUGACUUAAUGAUUAAUAGGGACAAUCGGGGGCAUUAGUAUUCAAACGACAGAGGUGAAAUUCUUGGACCGUUUGAAGACUAACUACUGCGAAAGCAUUUGCCAAGAGUGUUU
rnacentral:rRNA from 1 species